rnacentral:rRNA from 1 species
UAGGCGGAUUAUCAAGUCUCUUGUGAAAUCUAACGGCUUAACCGUUAAACUGCUUGGGAAACUGAUAAUCUAGAGUAAGGGAGAGGCAGAUGGAAUUCUUGGUGUAGGGGUAAAAUCCGUAGAUAUCAAGAAGAAUACCUAUUGCGAAGGCGAUCUGCUGGAACUUAACUGACGCUAAUGCGUGAAAGCGUGGGGAGCAAACAGGAUUAGAUACCCUGGUAGUCCACGCCCUAAACGAUGUAUACCGGUUGUUGCUGUGCUAGUCACGGCAGUAAUCCACCUAACGGAUUAAGUAUACCGCCUGGGGAGUACGGUCGCAAGAUUAAAACUCAAAGGAAUAGACGGGGACCCGCACAAGCGGUGGAGCAUGUGGUUUAAUUCGAAGAUACGCGAAGAACCUUACCCGGACUUGAUAUCUAACAAAUCAUCCAGAGAUGGAAGAGUGUCUGCUUGCAGAAAUGUUAAGACAGGUGCUGCACGGCUGUCGUCAGCUCGUGUCGUGAGAUGUUGGGUUAAGUCCCGCAACGAGCGCAACCCACGUCAUUAGUUGCUAACGGUUCGGCCGAGCACUCUAAUGAGACUGCCUUCGUAAGGAGGAGGAAGGUGUGGACGACGUCAAGUCAUCAUGGCCCUUAUGUCCGGGGCGACACACGUGCUACAAUGGCAUAUACAAUAAGACGCAAUAUCGCGAGAUGGAGCAAAUCUAAAAAAUAUGUCCCAGUUCGGAUUGGAGUCUGCAACUCGACUCCAUGAAGCCGGAAUCGCUAGUAAUCGUAGAUCAGCCAUGCUACGGUGAAUACGUUCCCGGGUCUUGUACUCACCGCCCGUCACACCAUGGGAGUUGAUU